UACGUAGGUGACCAGCGUUGUCCGGAUUUACUGGGCGUAAAGAGCGCGCAGGCGGUCGUUCAAGUCGAGUGUGAAAGCCCCCGGCUCAACUGGGGAGGGUCAUUCGAUACUGAUCGACUUGAAGGCAGGAGAGGGAAGUGGAAUUCCCGGUGUAGUGGUGAAAUGCGUAGAUAUCGGGAGGAACACCAGUGGCGAAGGCGACUACCUGGCCUGUUCUUGACGCUGAGGCGCGAAAGCUAGGGGAGCAAACGGG
rnacentral:rRNA from 1 species